AUUGAACGCUGGCGGCGGGCUUAACACAUGCAAGUCGAACGAACGGCGGACGGGUGAGUCAUUUCUGGGCAACUGCCUGCUGGAGCGGGAUCACACCUGCAACCGGUGGAGAAUCCCGCAUAACACCGUAUGUGCCCACAUGGGAUGAGCUAGUAGGUGGGGUAAAGGCUCACAUAGGCGACGAUCCCUAGCGGGCCUGAGAGGAUGACCAGCAACACCGGAACGGAGACACGGCCCAGACUCCGACGGGAGGCAGCAGUGGGUAAUAUUGCGCAAUGGGCGAAAGCCUGAUGCAGCCAUGCCGCGUGUAUGAAGAAGGCGUUCGGGUUGUAAAGGUCUUUCAGCGGGUAAGCGGGAUCCAAAGAAGAAGCCCCGGCUAACUCCGUGCCAGCAGCCGCGGUAAUUC
rnacentral:rRNA from 1 species